rnacentral:tRNA from 1 species
GCCUGGGUGGCUCAGUCGGUUGAGCGUCCGACUUUGGCUCAGGUCAUGAUCUCACGGUCUGUGGGUUCGAGCCCCAUGUCGGGCU